rnacentral:misc_RNA from 1 species
UGUAGCACGUGCUGUCUAUGCUGUUGUGACGCAACUGACACCAGGAUUUUUUUUUUCUUUUUUCUCUGACGCAAAGCGCCCGUCGGGCUGCAAGUCCGUUGUUAGAAAUUCAACUCUUUUUGUCUGUUAGCAAAAUGAUUCGAAUUGUAAACUGAAUCGCCUGUUCCGGUCACGGAAUUUAUCGAAGACGAGUGAUUAACCCGCACAAACUUCUAAUACAAGAUGAAUAAGAACCAAGAAACUUUAAGAAAAUGGCCAGGAAAUAAUUCGUUAUUCAACGUCAGUCAAUUAGCAUAGAGCAGGAAAAUCUACGAACAACAAAAACGGAUUUAAGAGAACAGGGAAAUUAAAGCAGCACACAAGAAGUAUAUUCUAAACUGAUAUCCAAAGAAAAUAUUAAAUAAUUGGUAUAACCAAUUCAUAUUAGAUAGAUAUAAAGUGAAAGAGAAACAAGAAACAAAACAGUUGUCCAAUCUGACGGUUAUAAGAAGUAUUAAAAAGGACCCAUUAGAAGAAGGUGUGGUUUAAAGACUCGAAUGCACAUGUAUUAUUCCGAAUUGGUGAAACAAAGAGAAAAUUGAAGACCGGAUUGUCGGAACAUUUAACAGCUGUAAGAUUAAAAUAUAAUAAUUCUCCUAUCUAUUGUUGUAUUAAUAACUGAAAUUAACAUUAAUAAUGUAAAAAUUGUUUAUAAGGAAAAAUGUAUAAUGAAAAAAGAAAAGUUAAAGAACAUUUUGCCAUAGCUAUGCAAAAUAAUACGGUUAAUUAAAAUACGGACGUGUUGACAGCUGCAUGCUGGGAAACUUUUGUCGGAUGUGUAUAUACACUUGUGUAUAUAUAUAUAUACUUAUAUAGAUGGAAACCCGUGAUGGAAUAUUGUCGGAGUUUGAACAGUAUGCUAAAAACCCUACUGAGGAGGCCUAAAAAACUUUUUGGCGAAAUGCAUUUAGGGAGUCUGAAAGUGUAAUAAAGUGUUUCUCUGCAAUUGGAUUUGCUUUUACCUUUUCUAAAAUUUAAUUCUUAUUUUAUUAUUGAUAUAAUGUUUUAGAAAUUUGGAGUUACCUACCUCCGUAAGUCAGAACAAAAAGAAAAAUUGAUUUUUCGUGUAUUUUUCUACAAUACAAUAAAGUAAGAAUUGGAUAAAUAAUCUGACUCCAUUGUUUUAAAUAAUUAUUUUGAAUAUAUGUUUAUCGAGUUUCGGGUGGGAGGAUGGAGGUAAAGCCAGCCCUAAUAAACAUUAAAAUGCAUUGUGUCAUCGGACUUGUGGCCUAAAAGUUUUUGCCCUCUAUCUUAAUUAGAAGUAGUUGAAAUUUGAGUUGCAAGAAUUGAGAACACGAUAUAAAGCGAAUUAAAUAAAAAAAAUUGCAGCCUCUUUAAAAUGAUGAAGAUAUUCUGAAUUUUAAAAUGAAAAAAUUAUUUUAUAAAAAUAGAUUUUAACACAUUUACAGUAAUGUAUACAGUAUAUAUAGUAAUGCAGUAAUAAUAAUAUAUUCACACAGAUUGAACACACAUUUACAGUAAUGCAACCGCGUAACUUCUUUAUGCCAUUUAUAUGCAUAUCUUUAUUUAGUUUGAAAAUGUUUAUUGAUUUCUUUGUCAAUAGAUUUAUAAUUAUUGAGUUAUCUAAAUACAGUUAAUGGCUUUCGUUUAUCCGUAUCUAUCCAAUCACUUACGUUAGUCAAAAUAGAAAAGAUUAAAAUGCUUAUUUUUUAUCAUCCAUUUACUAUAUCGAAAUAAAAUAUCUUCCAUUUAAUUAAUCUUUAAGGAUAAUCUGGAUAAAAUUUUCAUUUACAAAAUGGAAAAGUGUGUCCGGAAUGAAACUGAAUUUAUAAUUACAGGCUUAAAAGCCAUCGAUGAUUGUUAAAAAUCGAAUUAGCGGGUCUAAUCUGGCAAUUUUUGGAAGGUGAGUAAAAUUCAAAACAGCAACACACGCCAUUUACAAAGUUUAUUUCGGAGAGAAAUGUAACGGGGCAGGAAAUUGGGUGACGUCACAAGCGCUCUUUAUAAUUAUAUCGCCUCUAUAAAUG